rnacentral:autocatalytically_spliced_intron from 1 species
AACCGCCGUGUACGGAACCGUUCGCACGGUCGUGUGGGAGGAGGGGGCUCCCUCCUACCCGAU